UUCACAACUUUUCUGUCAUCUGUCACCGUAAGCACUGAUUUUGUUUCUGUAUAUCCAGAUGGAUGUGACGAGAGAGGAAAAAUGAAAAUUUCGAGUUACACCAACUCAAACUCACGUGGUACAGAUUCUACAAUCCAUGUUCUGUCAUGGUUGCAAAGGAUCUUUACAAAUCUUACUUGACUAACUACCGUACUUCAUAUUCUUUGGUCUCUUCGUUGCUAUCGAAAUCAUUAAUUAAUGGGAGGAUUACAACCAGCACACAUACGCUAUACAUUUCAUUAUUUUUUAUGACAGUGCCAGAGUGUAGCUGUAUUCCAGAACAUUGCACUCCAAAACAUUAACAAAAUUCCAUGUUAACACAAUCUUUUGCUAGAUAUUUACAAAUGCCUACCAAAUUAAGAACGCGGAAUCCAGCUAGCUAUAAUCCAGCACAGAAUAGCAUUCAUUCAAAUCUUCUCUGAUUUUUGUUUCCAUUUCGAU
rnacentral:lncRNA from 1 species